rnacentral:rRNA from 1 species
GGGACUCUUGCGGCGCCUCGCGCUAUAGGGUUGGCCGAUGGCUGAUUAGCUAGUUGGUGGGGUAAAGGCCUACCAAGGGGACGAUCAGUAGCUGGUCUGAGAGGACGACCAGCCACACUGGGACUGAGACCCGGCCCAGACUCCUACGGGAGGCAGCAGUGGGGAAUUUUGGACAAUGGGCGAAAGCCUGAUCCAGCAAUGCCGCGUGUGUGAAGAAGGCCUUCGGGUUGUAAAGCACUUUUGUCCGGAAAGAAAUCCUUGGCUCUAAUACAGUCGGGGGAUGACGGUACCGGAAGAAUAAGCACCGGCUAACUACGUGCCAGCAGCCGCGGUAAUACGUAGGGUGCAAGCGUUAAUCGGAAUUACUGGGCGUAAAGCGUGCGCAGGCGGUUUGCUAAGACCGAUGUGAAAUCCCCGGGCUCAACCUGGGAACUGCAUUGGUGACUGGCAGGCUAGAGUAUGGCAGAGGGGGGUAGAAUUCCACGUGUAGCAGUGAAAUGCGUAGAGAUGUGGAGGAAUACCGAUGGCGAAGGCAGCCCCCUGGGCCAAUACUGACGCUCAUGCACGAAAGCGUGGGGAGCAAACAGGAUUAGAUACCCUGGUAGUCCACGCCCUAAACGAUGUCAACUAGUUGUUGGGGAUUCAUUUCCUUAGUAACGUAGCUAACGCGUGAAGUUGACCGCCUGGGGAGUACGGUCGCAAGAUUAAAACUCAAAGGAAUUGACGGGGACCCGCACAAGCGGUGGAUGAUGUGGAUUAAUUCGAUGCAACGCGAAAAACCUUACCUACCCUUGACAUGGUCGGAAUCCUGCUGAGAGGUGGGAGUGCUCGAAAGAGAACCGGCGCACAGGUGCUGCAUGGCUGUCGUCAGCUCGUGUCGUGAGAUGUUGGGUUAAGUCCCGCAACGAGCGCAACCCUUGUCCUUAGUUGCUACGCAAGAGCACUCUAAGGAGACUGCCGGUGACAAACCGGAGGAAGGUGGG